AGAGUUUGAUCAUGGCUCAGAAUGAACGCUGGCGGCGUGCUUAACACAUGCAAGUCGAGCGAGGCCUGGGGGGCAACUCCCAGAGUCGAGCGGCGGACGGGUGAGUAACACGUGGGUAACCUGCCCGGAAGUGGGGAAUACCUCGGGGAAACUCGAGCUAAUACCGCAUGACAUCUUCGGGACGAAAGUCCUGACGAUCAAAGCGGGGUCGCAAGAUCUCGCGCUACCGGAUGGGCCCGCGCCCGAUUAGCUAGUUGGUGAGGUAACGGCUCACCAAGGCUUCGAUCGGUAACCGGCCUGAGAGGGCGAUCGGUCACACCGGAACUGAGACACGGCCCGGACUCCUACGGGAGGCAGCAGUGGGGAAUCUUGCGCAAUGGGCGAAAGCCUGACGCAGCAACGCCGCGUGGAGGAUGAAGGCCCUUGGGUUGUAAACUCCUGUCGGCUGGGAAGAAAUCGUACGGUGCUCAUACCACCGUGCGUUGACUGUACCAGCAAAGGAAGCCCCGGCUAACUCUGUGCCAGCAGCCGCGGUAAUACAGAGGGGGCCAGCGUUAUUCGGAAUUAUUGGGCGUAAAGGGCGCGUAGGCGGCCUUGCGUGUCUUCCGUGAAAUCCCUCGGCUCAACUGAGGACGUGCGGAAGAAACUGCAGGGCUCGAGUCCGGGAGAGGGGGGUGGAAUUCCCAGUGUAGCGGUGAAAUGCGUAGAUAUUGGGAGGAACACCGGUGGCGAAGGCGGCCCCCUGGACCGGUACUGACGCUGAGGCGCGAAAGCGUGGGGAGCAAACGGGAUUAGAUACCCUAGUAGUCC
rnacentral:rRNA from 1 species